GGGAGUCGGCGACCGCUUAGUGACGAGCGAUGAUUUUAAAGAGCAGAAUAAAAGGUUUUCCCGUGCCUGCCCCACAGCCCCUCCAGCUCGAAUAAUGGAGAACUGUCAAUGCACUCCGCGAGCGGUGGCCCAUUGUACGCAGCUGAUGGCGAGGAGGCGACUGGGGGUAGCAGGGGCUCCUUGCCCUCGUCCCUAUGCCCAAAUAAACGCGCAAACGCGCUCCCGUCUUCUGGUCAGUUAAAAGGUGAAACGAACACGAUUAAAAUAGACCAAAAGAAAAGAAAGAAAAGAAAACCUUUCUAUGUACAGAUUCUAAAUCGUACUCCCCAUACAGUCAGAGGCAGGGAGUCGAGGGCAGAGGCAGCAGGCGGAGAGAGGGAGAUAGGGCGAGGGAAGGAGAACGCGGAGAGAGACGAAGGGAGUGGGAGACCAGCGACAGCGAGCGCCAGGGCACCGCAGGCACACUGGAUGCCCAGUCCGCCGGCCCAGCCGCCCUCGGACCCUGGACCGUGCGUCGUGGGCACCAGAAACGAGACUCGGCCAAAUCCUGCCUCACCAGCAGGUAGAUGAAACUCAAGAGAAAAGGUGUGGAUAAAUGAAACUAGCCCAUGAUGAACCUGUUUUCUCCGUGACCACAAUAUUAACCAGGAUGAAUGGCGGUGGCAGUGGGCCUGCAUCACAGGUUGCAGCAGAUGUUCUCAAUAUUUCUAUUAAAAUUUCCUUAUUUCCAUAUGCAAGAGGAGCCCCAGAGCUGCAUCCUUAUGGUAGCUACCAUGCCGUGAUGUAAGCUGCCAUUCACUGGGGAGCUUUGGCAAUAGAAUUGGCUAGAUCAGGAAGCCUAUGUCAACUAUGGAACAACAACUUGCAGCUCAUCUCUAUUGAUGAUGGAAUCUCGCUAUGUCACCAGGCUGGAGUGCAGUGGCGCAACCUCGGCUCAGCGCAACAUCCGCCUCCCGGGUUCAAGUGAUUCUCCUACCUCAGCCUCCUGAGUAGCUGGGAUUACAGGAAUCUAAUGACCAUUGAACUGUGGCCAUGACUUCAAUUACAAAUACACUGCCUCUAGGACUGGGACAGAUAGCCACUGAGUACCUGCUUCAAAUCACCCUGCACGUUUUCUCUUUGGAAAGAUAAGCACUGGAGAACCAUCUCGUUACCUUCAGCAGAAAUGGAAACAAAUCAAGACAUUAAGAAUGCCGCAGUGGACAGCAGUUAUGCAAGGUUCAGCAGAGGAAGUUUUCAAGAUGGUGUGCCUCACUAGCCAGAAAUCAGAAAAGAUCGAAGCUAGCCUUUUCAUCUCAGCUGCUCCUUAAAUCAGUGCAACCCCUCCAAAUUAAUGUGAAUUGAAACUUGCAUUGCUUUUCAACUUAAUUGAAUACUUACUAUAUGUGAACCACUGCACAAAAUAGGGGAAGAAGAUGUGGGAGACAAAGAUGUGGAGCCUGUCUUCAAUAAAUUUACAGUUAGUUUCAGGGUACAUUGUUUUUCUUCUGCUGUUAAUUAGGUGUAUCCCCAAGACAAUAAAUACAUGAAUGGAAAAGUAUAUUCUGUGUUUUAAGUCUCUUUAAUAAAAAACAAAACAAAAUCCAAAAAAACUCCUAACAUGGCAACUCAGGACAUUUUAAUCCUUUUUUUUGUUGUUGGGCUUCUGAUAGGAUCCAUUUUAUUGAUUCCAUAAAUAUUUAGUAGACUUUAGACAUAUUAAUACAUUGUAGUUUGAGUUAAUUUGCAUUAAAUUCUGUUUUUUUCCCCUUAGGUAUAGAUUGUCUGUUGGAAAAAUAUAUUGCUUGUGGAUUUCUUGGGGAGUGGGAAGGUGAAUUAUACCUGUUGUCUCUACAGUCCACUACCUUCCACACCCUAGGGCAGUGGUCCCCAACCUUCUUGGCACCAGGGAUCAGUUUCCUGGAAGACAAUUUUUCUGUGGAUGGUGUGGGGAUGGUUUUGGGAUGGAACUGUUCCACCUCAGAUCAUCAGGCAUUAGUUAGGCUCUCAUAACGAGUGCGCAGCCUAGAUCCCUCACAUGCACAGUUCACAGUAGGGUUUGCGCUGCUAUGAGAAUCUAAGGCUGCCACUGAUCUGACAGGAGGCAGAACUCAGGUGGCAAUGCUUACUGGCCCACUGCUCACCUCUUGCUGUGCGGCCUGGUUCCUAAUAGGCCAUGGACCCCCACAGACGGGUACUAGUCUGCAGCCUGUGGACCCCAGCCCUAGGGGCCUGCCAUUCUGAGUGAGUUAUUAGCAUGAAGAAGAGGAAGAUCUGGAUCAAACGUGGGUGAUGGUACUCAGAGACCCAAGAUAGGAUAGGGAUGGAACAAAAUCCAUCUGGGCAACGGCUCUAUGAAAAUUUGGCUAAGUAAUUAUUUCAGUAUUCAUUGUAUUCAUUGUCCUUCGUGUUCCAUAAGUUAAAUGACUGUCUAAUUUUUCCAAAAAUUUAUUUCUGACUUGAGAAUAAGUGUGUCAUGAUUUUCCCAGUGUAAAGACACUGAUAUAACUGUAGAUACCAGACAUUUUAUGUAGUGUCUAUGACACAUUUUAGUAUGUAUGAGCCAACAAUAGACAUGUCUUUGUCUUGAGGAGUGU
rnacentral:lncRNA from 1 species